UUUUUUUUUUUUUUAAAGAUAAGUAGCUAUUAUUCUCCCUACUAGAAUGAGAGUUCCUUAAAGAUGGAGAUUAGUUCUUACUCCUCUUCAUAUACCUGGCAUUUAGGUUGAUGCCUGAUAAACAGUGGAUGCUCAUAACUACGCUGAAUGCACAAAUGAAGUUGGUGCUUCAAGCUGGGGAAUUCUCCAAGAUAGAAUCAUGGAUUCUUAUUGUACAAGAGAAGAGUGAACCCAUCCAAGAUUCUCACUUUACAGAGGGAGAAACCUGGAGGCCGGGGGUGGGGGUGGGUAACAAAUAACUUGUCCACAAGCAUGAGGUAAUAUGGAACUGAAAAUCACAUGCCAGGCCUGCUACCUCCUUCUCCCCACAGGUUCCUGUCCAGGGGAGAAGUCCGGCUGAGCCCCCCUCUCUCUGACUCCUGUUUGCAAAGUGGUGACAGGAGAAACUUGCUACAGCGUGUGGGAAAGCUAAUUAGAGCUAAUUUAUUAUCUUUGCUCAGAACUAGGAUGCUGGGUGGAAACUGCUGGAGGUCUGUGCCGCAAAGAGAAAUGUUUUUGAUUAUAUUUACACAUCUGAUUUGAGAAGUACAUGGAAACCUAAUCAUAACUAUAAUAACACGCUCAUUAGCUUUUGGUGUACUUAUCUUGGCUGCAUGAUAAGUUCUCUGAGGUAUAGCCUGGGCUUCAUCUUUCCUGAAGUCUUCUCAGACAAUGUUCUGUGCCAUUCACAGAAUGAGGGACUCCAUAGUGCUUUGGAGUCAGGCAAACUGGAUGACUUUGGGAAAGGUACUUCUCUCUGAGUCUGUUUUCUCCUCUGUAAAAUGGGGCAAUAGUAUCUACCUUGCAAGUUUGAGACAAGGAUGAAAUGUAAUAAUGUAAAUGGCAUGUCCAAUGCCAGCAGCAUCCGAGAGGUGCUUAGUAAAGGAGACCCUCAGUAAAUGUCUAUGUCUAGGUAUUUACCAUAGAAACUCUGGCCCUGCCUGUGAGGGCUGACACAUGUUCAGCCUCAAUCCAGGCUCUGCACUUGGGACUGAAAAGUCUGGUGUAAUGGGAGAAUGGCUGCUGCACAGCUCUGGGGCCAUUGUGUAGGAGGAAGAUGGAGGAAGUACUGUAUAAUGUGAUGGAAAGGCCAUGGGCUUAGGCAUUACACACACUUGUGUUUGGAUCUCAGCUCUGGCACUCUCCCACUGUAGGACCUUGGGAAAUUCACUUAAACUCUCUGAACUCAGUUUUCUCAUCUGUAAUACGGGCAAGAGUCCUUACCUAACAUAGCUGUUGUGAAAAUGAAAUUAUAUCACACAUGUGAAAUGCACAGCAAAAUCAUGGAGUAUGAGGCAGAGGCUGGUCUAAGACCUGCUUAGAUAUUAGCAUGUAUUUGAUAAAUGUGCUAAGUGAGUAAAUGGAUGGAGCUCACUAUAAUCUGGGAAUGUCUGGGGAAAGGAAAAAGAACAUUGGAUUAGGAGACAGAAGUGUAUUGGUUUAUAGUCUAUCUUCGCCUGUCGAGCAAACCCCCAUCUUGCCAGUCUCAAUCUUCUCAUCUGUAAAGGGGUGAUCCUAAUGAAGAUAAAAGAGGUGAUAGUGGUGGAAAGGACUUACAAACUGUAAAGUACAAUCUCAUGAUCUUGAAAACCAUCCUGUAAGCACCUGCAAAUAGUAAAUCAUUCAAUUGAUGACUGACAACACCAUGAACGAUACUUAUAAAGCACCUAUUAAGUGCCAUUCAUGGGGAUCCCAUCAUGAGCAAAGCACACCCUGCAUCUUUGGUAGAGCAGUGACGAUACCAUCCCCUCCUUGUCAUCAUCCCUGAUGAAGGGAUUGGAAACAUGAGGGCCUGUAGUUGUGAUCCAGCUUCUGAUGACAGAAACAGCAUGUGUGGGAAAUGCACAUGCUUGAGUAUAUAAGGAUCUUUAAAUGCCCUCAUUUUAGAAUGUUUCCCAUCUUGUAACUUUUUGUGUUUUGUCAUUUUCUCUUUCAUUGCCGGAGGAUCUGUCUCUAGAAAGUUCCAUCUUCUGACUCCCAUGUCUUCUGAUUUCCUAUGGCCUUAGGAAGCAUAAACUAAUGCUCAAUUGGAAUGCUGCAGCAACUUCUGAGUGGAAGGUCCAGAAUAGAAUAUAUGAGCAUCAUUGGGUGAAAUUACUGAGAUCUACCCCUAUGCAGUGCUCAUCACCUAUGACAUUAACCCUGAUCCAUACCGCACAUCAUCUCUUCAGCUGAUGCUGUGGCAGCCUGCCCCUUGGUGGCCCCGGAUGAUCACUCCCCUGCAUUUAUACCCCCACUCUGUCCCCUCCACCAUUCCUGAAUCUGGACCUUGGACACUAAUAAAAAUAUUUGGUGGAAGUGAUGUGUUAGAUAGAUCUGGGCCUAAGCUUAGAAGUCUUGGAGCUUCCUGAGUAUACUGAUCACUUAAUCCUCACCACAUUCCUCUGAAGUAAAAGUAAUCACCUAACAGCUAAUAAUAGUCUUUUGAGUGUCAGAUGAUAUUUUAAAUGCUUUGGAUGAAUUGAUUUAUUUAAAUCUCACAUCGACUUCAUGAGGCAAAUGCUAUCAUUAUAUCCUUUUUAUAGCUGGGAAAACUAAAGGACAGAGAAGCUAAGUGCUUUCCCCAAAUCACACAGCUACUAAGCUUAGAGUGGAGUUAUUUACACCCAGGCCAUCUGAUUCUAAAACCCACAUGUUAAUCACUUUGUUGAACUUCAGAAGGGUUAACUGUCUUGCCCACAUUAUGCACAGGCCAUGGCAAGGCUGGGGUUCAAACAGUUUUUUUAUGGACUCCCAUGUUUGACCCUUCUUGCCUAAAACAUCUAAAAGACCAUUCUGGAUCUGUCAGGAACUUCACCUAAUCCCAAAGGCAACUUGUACAAAAAAUAAAAACAUACAGAUUAUAGUCAGUGGUGAUUUUAUUGGAACUUCAUAGAAUCCUUCGCUGGUUUCCUUUUCCAUCCCCAUAUGUGUGUGUGUAUAUAUGUGGGUAGUGUAAGACCAUAUAUGAUAAGCACUUUUAGAACCCAAGAUGUAAGUUCAUCUGUUCUUUCCACCAACAUCAAAGUGUUGGGGAGAACAUUUUCAUCCAGUCAACAGGAUUUCAUCAAAUGCCUUCAGUGUUGCUGUGCUAAGUGCUGUGGCUACCGUGGUGGGCAAAAAACAAGCAAACCCCGCUCUCACAUCCUUACGGCAAGAACCUGUAGGAUCUAAUCAUGCUCUGCUGUUUCGGGGUAUGUGACAUGGGACUAGCAUUACAUGCUGAGCCUUCAUUUCUUAUCUGUAACUGGAGUUAAUAACAGUAUCUGUAUCACAAUCUACAUUUUAAGAUUCUUAUGAUGGAAAAAAUAUAAUAAAACAAGUGAAAUGUUUAGCAGAAUGUCAGGGGCAGAUGAUAGUCAGGAUACUUUAAAAGUUAUUAAUAAUAGUUAAAUAAGUAUUAUUGAUACAAUAAUAUUAAUGUUACUAAUAAAAACAUAAAUAUCAUUAUUGUAGAAGUAUAUACCAGGCAAUGUGUUAGGUUCUUCAAAUGCAACAUAAGAUAGGGCCUGCUUUAUCUUCAAGGGGUCUGCAGUCCUAUUCAGGAGAACAAACAUGCAAUGGACAGCUAAGACUUGGAACUUCAGGCACUAGAAUAGAGGGCCAUGUUCAUUGUUGGAGACAAAGGAAGUACAGACUGACUCCUUGUUGCUGGGAGUGUGGAAAAGGAGAUGGUUGUUGAAGUUCCAUAGACAAGGAGUGUUUGAGCCUGGCUUUGAUGUUUGGAAAAGGCUUGGAUAAGGAGAAAUGGGAGAAGGGAAAUGUGAAAAGGGAAUCUGAGACAGAAAAAAGACAGCAAAUGCAUGGUGGUGGAUUGUGCUUGAAUGGCUUCCAAAGAGGAAACAUUUUCUGGGAGAUUGGGUCUGGAGUGAAUGGUUGAAGAACAGGAGGCAAGAACUGGUACGAGAUAAGCCCAGGAAAAUAUCUGAGUCCAGAUCAUGGAGGAUCUUAAAUGUUAGGCUAAGGAGAUGAGCUUUAACAUUUAAAUAGUCAGAAGAAACGGGGGGGGGGGGGAUACCUAAUAUGAAUGGAUCGAUUGACUGAUAGAUAAAUGUAGAGAUAUGUGAAUAUAGAUACAUAUGAUAUAGUUUACAGAUAUGCAUAUGUAUAAGGCUACCUCUAUUUCUGUCAUCUAUCUCUGGUUUAUUUUAUUCUUUUAAAUAAGUAGGGUGAGAGAAGGAUCUGCUUGUUCCUUGAUCACCAUUGCAGCCAUAGCACCUAGCACAAUAACACAGAAGGAACUUCAUAAAAUCUUGUUGAAUGGAUAAUGGAAUAGGCUAUAACCACUCUACUUUGACGUCAAAUGAACAAAUGAAGUUACAUCUUGAAUGUGGAGGAAGGUGGAUGCUUUCACAAAGCAGAUGUCAUUUAAUCUUGGCAUUGCAGAUGAGCACAAUUUUAGCUUUGCAGAAAUUAGCCACUCCUGAUGGUGGGAACACAGGUACAGAGAAGAAUGUUACUGCCCAGGGUAUAGGAUAGUGAAGAGUAUGGAUUCUGGAGCCAGAGUUUAAGCCCCAGCCCCACCAUUUAACAGCAGGGAGGCUCUAGAGCACGUCCCUUAACUCUCUGUGUCUCAGUUUCCCCAUCUGUAAGACAGGGACAAUAAGAGUACUUAAUGAGAUUAUUGUGGAGAUAUAAGGUGCUUACCACAGUGCCUGACACAUACAAUAAGCUCUCUAUGCUCUCUAUAAAUGCUUACUUUUAUUAGUAAUAUUACUGUUAGAUACUGAAUGU
rnacentral:lncRNA from 1 species